GCAGCGCCCGCCGACGUCACGGCGGACUGCGACCAAUCAGCGCCUCGCGGUCCCUCUGUAAACCAUUCUGCAUUUCCCCCCUGGCCGGGGAGAGUGCGGGGAGACCGCGUUUAGAGGAUCGGUGGCGGUGGCCCCGCGCGGUGCCGGCGAUGGCAGCGAGAUGUCCUGGCCCCUUCCAGGUUUGCAGCGUGAGGAUGACACACGUGCUGCCGUUCAGCUGUCCCCACCCAGGUUGGCUGCCACCCUUGCUGAUGGAGAGAGGCAGGAGGCUGUCUGAGAAGACAGUGCUGAUGCAGAGGCCUCCUAGUGUGAAGUGUGCAGGGACGGCCCUCAACUAGGGUUGAAGAAAGGAAGCAGAAGAAGGGGAGCCCAAGGAAAGGUGGGGCCAGUUGGGAUUUUUAGGUAACACCCGUCUGGCAUACUUCUCAUGUGUUGUAUGUUAUAAUCGCCAAAUUUCACAUUUAUUGUAGUAGCCUGCUGUGUGUAGGCCAAAUGCUCCUUGGCCAAAACGGUGUUAAAUAAAACUGUAAGAAAUGCUA